CACCACUGCACUCCAGCCUGGGCCACAGAUCGAGACUCUGUCUCAAAAAAAUACAAAAAAUAAAUAAAUAAAAUAGCAAAUUCUUACUUGUGUUAUUUAGAGCAUACACACAGUCACAUGUGAAGCAAAUCAUUUAUGUAAUCCCAAGCACGGAUUAUGAUUUUCUUACUAUGUGGCAUCCCAGAGAGGACGUUUCUGUUUUCAAGUUUUUUUUUAAGGUCUCUAUUAAAAGCAUGAAGUUCUCUGAAAGUCACCGCAAGCUGGGCGGCGUGUGUGUUGGACUGUCUGAUCAGUGUGUGGGCCUUGCCUGACCUGAAGAAAGUCCAGUGGGGUCUGAGCUGACUUCCGGCCCCACUCACCUGCUGUAGGUAAGGGUGGAUCAGUGGGUGGAUUAAGUCACUUCUCUAAAUUGUUUCCUCAUCUGUAAAACUGGGAUUGUGUCAACCUCAUCAGUAAGUAAAUAGGCUAAUUAAUUAAGCUGAAUCUCUGAGAAAUGAUGCUCCCUGGGUCAGCAGAAGUCUAAAUAACGAGGAAGCCUGUGGUUCGUGGUGGGGGGUACAUACAGUGACCGCUUCAUUUUCAAACACUUCUCUUGCUUCUUCAUAGGUACAGAUUUCUUCGUAACAUUCUUUUUCCAAGUUUCCCUCGAAGAGUUCUUCCAGGAGAUAGGAGCCCGCGCGCUUCCACCUCGCCAGAACGUCGUUUGCUUUGGAGGCCGGGAGAAAUACUACAGACAAGACAAGAAGACGGUGACUGGGAGCACCGAGGGCCCUGCUUUCCAGAACUGCCUGGCUUCCACCCCAGCCAGUCGCCAGCCCCUGCCCCUCCGUCUCCACAGGCUCUCAGCCUUCGAGAGCCUCAGGACCACCCCGCCACUACCUCCCCCGAGGUAGGCAAGCACUUCAUCCUCUGGGCGAAUGGACCAGCCCCGGGAUCAGUGCAGAUACAUUAAGGUUCUGCAGAGAGGCCACGGGCCUCAGUCGGGAAAGUGGAGGAGGGAGGUCUCCAACUGGGUUUUGGGUCCGAGUGCGAAGGAAGGCCGAGCUGGGGUCAAAGGUCAUUGUGCUGAGAACUGGGGACCAAGAGCCAUCAGCUCCUGUGCUGCCUCUGUGCACAGGAUUUAACAUCUUGAUAAAACACAAAGAGAAGAAACUUAUACAUUGCAGCAGGCUCUGCGAUUUCCAGGAGGAGAAGGCAAACCAGUCUGCCCGCGGCUGUGGUCUCUAGAGGCUCUUCCUGCCCAAGGGCCCCAAAGCACGUUCUCUCCCUCUCCCGGAGGGUCAAAGCCCAGGCCCUUCACAUCCUGCCUCUCUUUCUCUCGGUGCUGAGGGUUACAGCAGGGACGGCUCAGCUAAGUCCAGCCACGCUUUCCUGGACGCCUGUGCAGGCAGAGUCAGGAUGGAGUCCGUGGCUGUUCCUCCAGCGAAGUGGCUGGUGGUAGAAGGGUGGCAGGCGGGCAGGGUGGCUGCUCCCUGGCUGUGUCUCCUGACUCAAGACUGAGCACUCCUGGCCGGCCUGGCCAAGGCGCUCUCUGCCCACAUUGCAGUCUGGGCUCGGCCUGCCCCACCCCCUCCCCCCUCCCUGGCCUUUCCCCACCGAAUCUCCUGCACACACACUUCUUUCCAUUUGGGCAUCUCUUGGGAGGACCCCAAGUGACACCAUCAUGUCCCAAAUACUUGUCACCAAAUGAUAAAGACCUAAACGGCUUUUUCAGGGGAAUUAAGACAAGUCUGGGCACUCAGGGCUCCUCCGGCUCCUGGGAAAAGUGUCACCUACAAAUCCACCGUGGACUGAAUCAAGGACACAGCACAGGCACGACAGACAGGGUGGCAGCAGAGAGAACGAGUGCAAGCAGCAGAAAUGCCAGAUGCUUAUAAAACCAUCAAAUCUCAUGAGACUCACUGUCCCAAGAACAGCGUGGCAGAAACCUCCCCCAUGAUCCAAUCACCUCCCACCGGGUCCCUCCCUCGGCACGUGGGGAUUAUGGCAAUUACAGUUCAAGACAAGAUUUGGGUGGGGACACAGCCAAACCGUAUCAGCACUUGAAGCCUGAGGUUCACUUGGUUUUCAUGGCCAUUUAACUUGAGGCCAAGGGACAGUGCCGGAUGCAGCGGGGUAAGGACUCAACAUCUGGACCUGAGGAGAGAAGGAGGAGCCCCCUGAAGCCCCUCCUGCCACACCACCACCACUCAGCCCCUGAGGAGCUCCAGAAGCUUCCAGAAGCCCCUGGCCAGCUUCACUCCAGAGACUGAUUUCAGGGGCCAGGCUGUGGCCUGGAUGCAGGCAUGCUAAAGCCCCCAGGGGAUUCUAAGGGUGGCCAGGGUGGGGGCCCACGGUGUGAGGUAGGUCACUGCCUGGUGAGUAGGUCACCCACCCGGGGGAUGUCCGUGCGCCCCCACCAUGCAAGCCCAAGCUGGGGUGGGGCCUGGCACCGUGCGGUUGAAGAGCACCCGAUGGUUUAGGUCAAUGCAAAACGUCCGCCCCAACAAGAGGCUUUCUGGACGUUUCCCUACCGGGGAGUCUGAGUCCUAGGCAGUCACCGGGGAGGUGUCCAGUUCCCAAGGGGAACAAGAGAGACCAGGCCAGGUGGGAGGUCUCGGGGAGGACAUGCCAGCGUGUGGGCCCCUCCCGACCCCACGGGGCCUGCACAGGCUCCCACCUGCCUCUGGGCGUGACCCAGACACAGGAAGCUGUCCAGGGAAAGGAAUGCCCAUGGCAGUCACAGCACAGUAUCAUCCUUGGAGCCUCCAUCCUGCCCAUCUAGAACAGACUAGAACAUUCCCUGGAGGAAUCCCCAGCCUAGCUGGGAAGGGCGGGAGCUCGGGUUCCAGACGUACUUCACCUUCCCACCCCGAUGGCGGGAGAAGCCAGGGCAAGGCGGCAAUCGAGAGACAUACCAGGCCUUGCGUGGGAUCUCACUUUAAUGGAGAGGACGUGCUGGCCUCUGGGGCACGGCUCUCAGCCUUGGGCAAGCCCCUGGUUUUCAUGGACCUGUCGAUCCACUUGAGGAAGGCGGUGACCUUGGUGUAGAUCCCGUACUUCCCCUUCCGGGCGCAGCCCUCUCCCCAGCUGACGAUGCCUGUCACGAAGUAGGUGUCCUUGAAGCGGGUGACGUGGGGGCCCCCACUGUCCCCCUGGCAGGCGUCUUCCUGCUUGGCGUGGUAGCCGGCACAGAACAUGUUCUGGGUGAUGAUGAAGCUGCUGGAGAGCUUGCAGCUGUUGCGGUCCACGUAGGGCACCUCCAGCAUCUUGAGCCUGGUGGACUGCCGGCCCUUCUCGUGGGUGCGCCCGAAGCCGCUCACAAUCCCCGUCUUCUGCGUCAUCAGCGUGGACUCGGCCCAGUCGCGCUCGGGGAGGCAGGCGGGUGCCACGUUCAUGCGGAAGGUGAUGGGGCUCUUGAGCCGGAGCACGGCGAUGUCGAAGUCAUAGGUCUCCUUUGUGAACCGGUUGUGCUUGAUGAUCACCUCCACCUCGUGCACCGCCUCGCCGCCCUCCUCCUGCUCCAUGUCCCGGUCCCCUGGGACAGAGGGGGGGGGCCUGUGCUCAGCUCAGCCGGGGCCAUGCUUUCGCACAUCCGUUGCUUUUUAAGGAUUUUUUUUUUUAAUUAAAAAUGGCACGUGGUCACUUUUGAAAAUUUGGAAAAUAAAGGGAAAUGCAAAGCAGCAAAUAAAAAUGACCGUCAGCCUUGCUACCCAGGGAACCACUG